AGGAUUCUAUCCAUCUAAGCCUGGAAAAUACUGUUUUCCGACUUCAUUGAAGCCUGGUGUAUUAUCACUCUUUAAUAUUAUACUACUGCACAUUUUAAAAAAAAGCCCAAGAACUUGCCAGUCAAGAUGAAAAACUUCUUCUAAUGGAAUCCAGCUUGAAAGCAACUCAAGAGCAGCUAAGUGAGCAAAUAGCAGAAACAGUGCGCCAAGAACAGAACAGUAGAAAAUCACAGACAGAGCUGAAGACCCUGAGAGAACAUAUUAUAACUUCUGAAGAAGAAAUUACUGAUUACAAGAAGUGUGGAGACCUUUAAGGUAAGAAUAACAGCAUCAAAAAAAGAGGAAGAACAGCAGCUCCUCAAGGCCUCAGUGACCCCUUGACCUGCAAUAGCCCCGGGAAAAGGAGAAAUAGUCUCAACCAGGUAAAGAACUAGAAGAUUUGAAGAAACAGUGUUGCAGGAAAGGGAAUGAUGAAGGAAUUGAUCAAAGACAUACAUCGAGGUAUGUUGUCUGCAAGACUUUCCUCCUGUGUUGUUGGAGAAGGAAGUUGUACAGUUGAUGAAGAAGAAAACCCUAGGAAAAAAAAUAAUAAAGUGUCAUGUGAUGAAGCAGUUGAAUGCUGAGCUGCAGAACUAGAUAUUUUUGUGGCCUCUCCCACAGAAGUCAAGCAAGAUUCUUCAUAUAAACUUUUCUAAAUAUCUAAUCUGAGAUUCCACAAUCUUAUCUGUAGCAGGCUGAACUUUCCCAAGUACAACUGUAGCCAAUAAUGAUUUGCUCUGAAUGGUUAAAGGUCUUUACAAAGAAGUAUUAACAAAAGGUAUCAGAAGACAAGGUUCAGUCCUGUCCUUUGUCUGACUGGGGAUUUGAGCCAAGGUCAUCUACAUUGCAGGGGAAGACAGUAGUGCCUGAGCACAUACAAGUUUUCCUGUCUGUCUUUGAUGGAACAACUGCUAAAAUUGCCUACAAAAAGGGAAAGACUGCAAUAAAGACAGAGUGCCAUCCCUCUCAGAAUAAUAUGGAAUGAGGCUCAUUCAAACUGCUUCAAAAUAAAAGAGAAAUUAAUCUGUGUUCUCCCAUAUCACAAAUAAGCAUACUAAUAGAAAGUAAUUUCACAUUUUAUUUGUACUAUAUGUGAGCAUCCUUAUCUUCUUCUACUCCAUGUCCCAAAAUCUGUUUGCUUCAACUGCCUACCUGUAAAAUGAUAAUAAAGCUAUAUUCUCACAUUAUGAGAUGCUGAUAUUUAUGAAACACUCAGACACCACUGUGCUGAAAAUCCAUGGUUAUAUUUAUACUUUCCUUUUAGUUGUGUAAGUACAUGAGCCCUGUUUCUUAGUUCAAAUCCUGUAAGCUGGUGCAU